rnacentral:rRNA from 1 species
CAGCCGCCACGGGAAUACGAAGGGGGCUAGCGUUGCUCGGAAUUACUGGGCGUAAAGCGUGCGCAGGCGGUUAUUCAAGACAGAUGUGAAAUCCCCGGGCUCAACCUGGGAACUGCAUUUGUGACUGGAUGACUAGAGUACGGCAGAGGGGGAUGGAAUUCCGCGUGUAGCAGUGAAAUGCGUAGAGAUGUGGAGGAAUACCGAUGGCGAAGGCAGCCCCCUGGGCCAAUACUGACGCUCAUGCACGAAAGCGUGGGGAGCAAACAGGAUUAGAUACCCGUGUAGUCCCUGUCUCUUAUAC